rnacentral:hammerhead_ribozyme from 1 species
AUCCAGCUGACGAGUCCCAAAUAGGACCAAACGCACUUCCUGGAU